UAUAUGCCGCAGAUGACUGUUGUCCAUUAUAUCCACGAUCCAGUUGCAUAUGCAAAUUAUCUCCGACAAUACAAUGACCUAUAUCGGGAAUAUAUGACUUUCUCACAAUACCAGCAAUACUUAUAUCAACAUUGUCAUAUAAAUCUUGUAUCUGCAACUGACAGUAUGCCAUAUGAUCAAGCGCGACAAUCUAUGUGGAAUUAAGCAGUCAUCUCUAUGUAAAGAUGUAAAUUUAAAUAAUUAUUAUACUUGUGAAUUUUAUUAUUGUAUUUUAAUUUUUAUUCUACAUCAGGUAUAAUUGUAUUUUACUUACAAAAAGCUUACAUGCAUGUUAAUUAAUGAGUAUAAUAAGGUAUAUAUAGCAAAUAUAAAUAAUUAUUUAUUUAAAUCUUUCAAAAUAACAUUAUAAGAGUUUAUUGGAAUCAAAAAAACUGAAAAAAAAUCCGUGCCAAAGCGUGGCAGUAGGAGGUCGUGCAUAUCUGUCGGCACGCAAGCGGACCACGUGUCGGCACGCAAGCGGGGCCGUGCCGUACCGUGCCAGGGCCGUGCCGCCACGCCCCUGUGCCACGGCACUUUAAACCUUGGCUUACAUGCAUGUUAAUUAAUGAAUAUAAUAAGCUAUACAUAGCAAAAAUUAAUAAUAAUUUGUCUAAAUCUUUCAAAAUAACAUUAUAAAAGCCUGUUGGAACCAAAAAAACUUAAAUAAAUCUGUACCAAAGCGUGCCAGUAGGAGGUCGUGCGUAUCUGUCGGCACGCAAGCGUGCCACGUGUCGGCACGCAAGCGUGCCCAUGCCGUACCGUGCCAAGGACGUAACGG
rnacentral:lncRNA from 1 species